rnacentral:tRNA from 1 species
GGGAAGGUAGUUCAGUGUUAGAGCGCUUGCCUUGCAUGCAUGAGGCCCUGGGUUC